rnacentral:rRNA from 1 species
AUGGCUGAAGAAGGUGGAAAAAAUUUUGGUAGAAAUUACCUCACAUGGACAGAUGAAAUGGACAUUGCACUACUGGAGGUCCUUGUUGAGCAUCACAACAAUGGUGAUCAUGCCUAGAAUGGAUGGAAGUCCCAUGUCUACAGUGCUGUUAUAGGUAAUGUGCGUGAGAAGUGCAAUGUGACCAUCACAAAGGAAAACAUAAGUUCAAGGUGCAAAACCUUUGAAAAGCACUAUGAGGCCAUUAGCAAGAUGCUUUCUCAAAGUGGAUUUGGGUGGGAUUGGAUCAAUAACAAGCUGUCAAUUGAUAGUGAAGAUGUGUGGAUUAAAUAUGUCGCGAAUUGGGAUGCUAUCACCACCAUAUACUCAAAAGAUCAUGCAAAUGGUGAAGGUGUUGUCACAAGUGCUGAAACUGUUGUAGAACCAACUAUGGAACCCAAUGAAGCCUCUCCUGAAGUGCCACACAAAAAACAGCGGACCGGUGAUGCCAUCCUGUGCCUACUUGGGGAUAUGAAAGGCUCAUUUAAUGAUGCUUUGAAGUCACUUGAGCCUUUACCUCUUCCCCAAGUUACACCUCCUGCUGAAAUCCUCGCGACACUUGAGAUGAUCCUUGAUUUGGCUCGUGGUGACAUAUUGCGACCUUAUGGUAAGUUGAUCCUUAGCGAACGCUUGUACCAAGCGCUUCUUGAGCUUCCCAUGAACUUCAGGAAGGAAUGGUUGUUGAUGUUGGAAUAG